UGGGGAAUAUUGCACAAUGGGCGGAAGCCUGAUGCAGCGACGCCGCGUGAGGGAUGACGGCCUUCGGGUUGUAAACCUCUUUCAGUAGGGACGAAGCGUAAGUGACGGUACCUGCAGAAGAAGCACCGGCUAACUACGUGCCAGCAGCCGCGGUAAUACGUAGGGUGCGAGCGUUGUCCGGAAUUACUGGGCGUAAAGGGUACGUAGGCGGAAAUGCAAGUCAGGUGUAAAAGGCAGUAGCUUAACUACUGUAAGCAUUUGAAACUGCAUAUCUUGAGAAGAGUAGAGGUAAGUGGAAUUUUUAGUGUAGCGGUGAAAUGCGUAGAUAUUAAAAAGAAUACCGGUGGCGAAGGCGACUUACUGGGCUCAUUCUGACGCUGAGGAACGAAAGCGUGGGUAGCAAACAGG
rnacentral:rRNA from 1 species